rnacentral:snRNA from 1 species
AUGCUCACCUCAGCAGCACAUAUACUAAAAUUGUAAUAAUAAAGAGAAGAUUAGCAUGGCCCCUUUAAAAG